rnacentral:rRNA from 1 species
GAACAAGUCCUUGACACACAAACGGACCAACUAAGAAAAGUUUCUCAGAACUACGAAAAUGACAAGAAACUAUGGGCUGCUGCCAUAUCUAACUUGGAGAGCAAAAUCAAGGCCAUGAAACAAGAGCAAGCACUGUUAUCUCUUGAAGCACACGACUGUGCGCACGCGAUUCCUGAUUUGAGUAAGAUGAUUGAAGCUGUUUGAGCCUUAGUUGCACAGUGUGACGAUCUGAAAAUGAAGUACCACGAGGAGAUGGCCAAGAGAAAGAAACUUCAUAAUAUUGUCCAGGAGACAAAAGGUGCCUAUUGCCCCCUCUGUAUUCAGAUGCUUACACUCAUUUCCAGAAUUUGGUCGGGAUAG